rnacentral:rRNA from 1 species
CACGGAGUUAGCCGAUCCUUAUUCUUCCGGUACAUUCAGCUAUUUACUCGUAAAUAGGUUUAUUCCCGGAUAAAAGCAGUUUACAACCCAUAGGGCAGUCUUCCUGCACGCGGCAUGGCUGGUUCAGAGUUGCCUCCAUUGACCAAUAUUCCUUACUGCUGCCUCCCGUAGGAGUCUGGUCCGUGUCUCAGUACCAGUGUGGGGGGUCAUCCUCUCAGAUCCCCUAGUCAUCGUCGCCUUGGUGGGCCGUUACCCCGCCAACUAGCUAAUGACACGCAUGCCCAUCUUCAUCCCAUAAAUGUUUGAUCAUUGUAUUAUGCAAUACUGUGAUUUUAUGCGGUAUUAAUCCGGAUUUCUCCGGGCUAUCCCCCAGAUAAAGGUAGGUUGCAUACGCGUUACGCACCCGUGCGCCGGUCUCAAGAGCAAGCUUCUCUACCCCUCGACUUGCAUGUAUUAGGCCUGCCGCUAGCGUUCAUCCUGAGCCAGGACUCAAACUCC